rnacentral:rRNA from 1 species
UACCAGCACCCCGAGUGGUCGGGACGAUUAUUGGGCCUAAAGCAUCCGUAGCCGGCCUUACAAGUCCUCCGUUAAAUCCAGCUGCUUAACAGAUGGGCUGCGGAGGAUACUAUAAGACUAGGAGGCAGGAGAGGCAAGCGGUACUCAGUGGGUAGGGGUAAAAUCCGUUGAUUCAUUGAAGACCACCAGUGGCGAAGGCGGCUUGCCAGAAUGCGCUCGACGGUGAGGGAUGAAAGCUGGGGGGAGCAAACCGG